GUGGGCAACCUGCCUGUAAGACUGGGAUAACUUCGGGAAACCGGAGCUAAUACCGGAUAACACCGAGGACCACAUGGUCCUUGGUUGAAAGAUGGUUUCGGCUAUCACUUACAGAUGGGCCCGCGGCGCAUUAGCUAGUUGGUGAGGUAACGGCUCACCAAGGCGACGAUGCGUAGCCGACCUGAGAGGGUGAUCGGCCACACUGGGACUGAGACACGGCCCAGACUCCUACGGGAGGCAGCAGUAGGGAAUCUUCCGCAAUGGACGAAAGUCUGACGGAGCAACGCCGCGUGAGCGAUGAAGGCCUUCGGGUCGUAAAGCUCUGUUGUUAGGGAAGAACAAGUACCAGAGUAACUGCUGGUACCUUGACGGUACCUAACCAGAAAGCCACGGCUAACUACGUGCCAGCAGCCGCGGUAAUACGUAGGUGGCAAGCGUUGUCCGGAAUUAUUGGGCGUAAAGCGCGCGCAGGCGGUUCCUUAAGUCUGAUGUGAAAGCCCACGGCUCAACCGUGGAGGGUCAUUG
rnacentral:rRNA from 1 species